rnacentral:rRNA from 1 species
UACGUAGGGGGCAAGCGUUGUCCGGAUUUAUUGGGCGUAAAGAGCGUGUAGGCGGUCUGUCGCGUCUGCUGUGAAAAUCCGGGGCUCAACCCCGGACUUGCAGUGGGUACGGGCAGACUAGAGUGUGGUAGGGGAGACUGGAAUUCCUGGUGUAGCGGUGGAAUGCGUAGAUAUCUGGAGGAACACCGGUGGCGAAGGCGGCAUCCUGGACCAACACUGACGCUGAGUGAGCGAAAGCCAGGGGAGCGAACGGG